ACCAUGCAGUCGAACGAUGAAGCCCAGCUUGCUGGGUGGAUUAGUGGCGAACGGGUGAGUAACACGUGAGCAACCUGCCCCUGACUCUGGGAUAAGCGCUGGAAACGGCGUCUAAUACUGGAUAUGAGCUCCUGCCGCAUGGUGGGGGUUGGAAAGAUUUUUUGGUUGGGGAUGGGCUCGCGGCCUAUCAGCUUGUUGGUGAGGUAAUGGCUCACCAAGGCGUCGACGGGUAGCCGGCCUGAGAGGGUGACCGGCCACACUGGGACUGAGACACGGCCCAGACUCCUACGGGAGGCAGCAGUGGGGAAUAUUGCACAAUGGGCGGAAGCCUGAUGCAGCAACGCCGCGUGAGGGAUGACGGCCUUCGGGUUGUAAACCUCUUUUAGCAGGGAAGAAGCGAGAGUGACGGUACCUGCAGAAAAAGCACCGGCUAACUACGUGCCAGCAGCCGCGGUAAUACGUAGGGUGCAAGCGUUAUCCGGAAUUAUUGGGCGUAAAGAGCUCGUAGGCGGUUUGUCGCGUCUGCUGUGAAAUCCCGAGGCUCAACCUCGGGUCUGCAGUGGGUACGGGCAGACUAGAGUGCGGUAGGGGAGAUUGGAAUUCCUGGUGUAGCGGUGGAAUGCGCAGAUAUCAGGAGGAACACCGAUGGCGAAGGCAGAUCUCUGGGCCGUAACUGACGCUGAGGAGCGAAAGGGUGGGGAGCAAACAGGCUUAGAUACCCUGGUAGUCCACCCCGUAAACGUUGGGAACUAGUUGUGGGGUCCAUUCCACGGAUUCCGUGACGAAGCUAACGCAUUAAGUUCCCCGCCUGGGGAGUACGGCCGCAAGGCUAAAACUCAAAGGAAUUGACGGGGACCCGCACAAGCGGCGGAGCAUGCGGAUUAAUUCGAUGCAACGCGAAGAACCUUACCAAGGCUUGACAUAUAGAGGAAACGGCCAGAGAUGGUCGCCCCGCAAGGUCUCUAUACAGGUGGUGCAUGGUUGUCGUCAGCUCGUGUCGUGAGAUGUUGGGUUAAGUCCCGCAACGAGCGCAACCCUCGUUCUAUGUUGCCAGCACGUAAUGGUGGGAACUCAUGGGAUACUGCCGGGGUCAACUCGGAGGAAGGUGGGGAUGACGUCAAAUCAUCAUGCCCCUUAUGUCUUGGGCUUCACGCAUGCUACAAUGGCCGGUACAAAGGGCUGCGAUACCGUAAGGUGGAGCGAAUCCCAAAAAGCCGGUCCCAGUUCGGAUUGAGGUCUGCAACUCGACCUCAUGAAGUCGGAGUCGCUAGUAAUCGCAGAUCAGCAACGCUGCGGUGAAUACGUUCCCGGGUCUUGUACACACCGCCCGUCAAGUCAUGAAAGUCGGUAACACCUGAAGCCGGUGGCCUAACCCUUGUGGAGGAGCCGUCGAAG
rnacentral:rRNA from 1 species